rnacentral:rRNA from 1 species
GCACCACAAGAACGCGUGGAGCAUGUGGCUUAAUUUGACUCAACGCGGGAAAUCUUACCGGGUCCGGACACACUGAGGAUUGACAGGCAAUAUCUCAUGGUUAUUAACCGGUAUUUAUUUAAUCGGUUAUUAAGCAUCAGUGUUAAAUAUGCUAGUCCUUUCAUGAUUAUGUGAUAGGUGGUGCAUGGCCGUUCUUAGUUCGUGGAGUGAUCUGUCUGCUUAAUUGCGUUUCACUAAGGGCCCAUAAAUUCAAGGUAUGUUAGCUAUCGUCGCUCUAUGGACCCCUUAUACUCGAUUUCGCUUUAAUUAGCGUUAUUUGUUUAAUAAGCGCGCG